GAGCCAGUAGCUCAGCCGGUAGAGCAGCGGCCUUUUAAGCCGUUGGUCCGGAGUUCGAAUCUCCGCUGGCUCACCU
rnacentral:tRNA from 1 species